rnacentral:rRNA from 1 species
AGGAUUCAAGCGUUAUCCGGAUUUAUUGGGUUUAAAGGGUGCGUAGGCGGUUCGAUAAGUUAGAGGUGAAAUCCCGGGGCUCAACUCCGGCAUCGCCUCUGAUACUGUCGGGCUAGAGUUUAGUUGCGGUAGGCGGAAUGUAUGGUGUAGCGGUGAAAUGCAUAGAGAUCAUACAGAACACCGAUUGCGAAGGCAGCUUACCAAACUACGACUGACGUUGAGGCACGAAAGCGUGGGGAGCAAACAGGAUUAGAUACCCUGGUAGUCCACGCAGUAAACGAUGAUAACUGGUUGUCGGCGAUAUAAUGUCGGUGACUAAGCGAAAGCGAUAAGUUAUCCACCUGGGGAGUACGUUCGCAAGAAUG